rnacentral:rRNA from 1 species
UACAGAGGGUGCGAGCGUUGUCCGGAAUCACUGGGCGUAAAGGGCGCGUAGGCGGCUUCUUAAGCGUGUGGUGAAAGCGCGGGGCUCAACCCCCGCGUCGGCCGUGCGAACUGGGGAGCUGGAGCACGUCAGAGGCAGGCGGAAUUCCGGGUGUAGCGGUGGAAUGCGUAGAGAUCCGGAAGAACACCGGUGGCGAAGGCGGCCUGCUGGGACGUGGCUGACGCUGAGGCGCGACAGCGUGGGGAGCAAACAGG